rnacentral:rRNA from 1 species
UGAGUUUGAUCCUGGCUCAGGGUGAACGCUGGCGGUGCGCUUAAUGCAUGCAAGUCGAGCGAGCUUCAUCCGCUUCGGUGGGUGAGGAAAGCGGCGGACGGCUGAGUAACGCGUGAGAAACCUGCCCUCCGGUGGGGUAAAACGCCGAGAAAUUGGCGUUAAUACCGCAUACGGUCAUGCCGCCUCGGCGGCGUGAAGAAAGAUUUAUCGCCGGAGGAGGGUCUCGCGUCCUAUCAGGUAGUUGGUGGGGUAACGGCCUACCAAGCCGAUGACGGGUAGCUGGUCUGAGAGGAUGGCCAGCCAGAGGGGGACUGAGACACGGCCCCCACUCCUACGGGAGGCAGCAGCAGGGAAUCUUGGGCAAUGGGCGAAAGCCUGACCCAGCGACACCGCGUGGGGGAUGAAGGUCUAAGGGCUGUAAACCCCUUUUCCGAGGGAAGAGAUAGGACGGUACCUCGGGAAUAAGCCCCGGCUAACUACGUGCCAGCAGCCGCGGUAACACGUAGGGGGCAAGCGUUACCCGGAUUUACUGGGCGUAAAGCGCCCGCAGGCGGCCCGGCAAGUUUCAGGUGAAAUCUCCCGGCUCAACCGGGAGGGGUCCUGGAAAACUGCCAGGCUUGAGGCAGGGAGGGGAAUGCGGAAUUUCCGGUGUAGCGGUGAAAUGCGUAGAUAUCGGAAGGAAUACCAGAGGCGAAGGCGGCCAACUGGCUUGUAACUGACGCUCAGGGACGAAAGCGUGGGUAGCAAACCGGAUUAGAUACCCUGGUAGUCAAUCUGCA